UACGGGGGGUGCGAGCGUUGUCCGGAAUCACUGGGCGUAAAGGGCGCGUAGGUGGUUUGGUAAGUGUGUGGUGAAAGCCCGGGGCUCAACCCCGGAUCUGCCGUGCCGACUGUCAAACUCGAGGGCUGUAGAGGCAGACGGAAUUCCGGGUGUAGCGGUGGAAUGCGUAGAGAUCCGGAGGAAGACCGGUGGCGAAGGCGGUCUGCUGGGCAGUUUCUGACACUGAUGCGCGACAGCGUGGGGAGCAAACAGG
rnacentral:rRNA from 1 species